UUCACCGCUGCCUCGGUGCAGGUAGGGGAUUGAGCUCGAGCUAGCUCGAAUAAUGGCUCUUUGCUUUUGCAUCAGACUCAGCUCCCUGGUGGUCUUUGGGGAUCACGAAUUCUGGGCAUAACAAAACCAUGAGAAUUUGUAGCACAUGGAGUUAAUAGACUGUUCUGGAAUCAUGUAUCCAGAUUCCCUUCUUACUCUUCCUGCUUGAAUGAGCUGGCCUUCUGGGACAUGCUGACCUUCUACUUCCAGGGUGUUCUUAAGUGUUUAAAGACUCGAAGCACUGCUUUGGGAAAUCUCCCCGGCGUUCUCCUUACUUGUCGCAAGUAAAACCUUCCUUGUCCUAUUCUUUGGCUCAAUUGUGUCUUUUGGCUCAACACCCACCAACAGGCAAGUACAGUUUUGGGUAAUAGAAGGAGGAGGAAGAGAAUGUGGAGGAGGAGAAGGGAACAGAAGAGGGUUGGAAGUUGAAGUGGAGCAGAGCCACUCAAUCUUCAGCUCAGCUCCUGUGGGCAGAGGUGAGACACAAUCAGGGGUGCAGGAAACAGCUGGCACAUGAGUCAUGGUUCCACUGAGGAUCUGUGACUUUCUCAGCAUAGGGAUCGAUGGCAGGCCACGCCCAAGAUGGGCCACUUUGGCAUGAAUAUCACUGUGAGUUAAAAGUAAUCAAAACCCAGCAGAUCCAGGAAAAGUUCUUGCCUCCCCUUGAACUGUCUAAAUUUACAUUGGAAAAAGAGACUGUACCAGGAAGAGAACUAUUAAGAGAGAUUCCUGUUUACCUAAGAAACUUAUCUGUAUCUGCAUAAUAGGGCACCUUUGUUCUCCAAAGCUCUCCUCUCACCUUCUCACCAACGGUCUUCCUCCCCUUUGUAUCCUCAGACCUCUACCCCUUUCCUGAGCUCACAUAAACUUCAUGUUGCCUCACUGUCUUUGAAAUCCUAUGUCUGUGUGGAACCCCUGUAUAUACAAAACUAAAUUUGAUUUUCUCCUGUUAAUCUGUCUCCUGUUAAAUGAGACAGUUUAGUCCAGCUAGAAGAAUCUUGACGGGCAGAGGGAAUUCUUCCUCCCCAACACUAGCCAGCUCCACUUCUGCAUGAAUGCUCACCUUCAGUGGACAGAAGACAAGUUCUGAAGGAGGAGAAAGGAGGGGGGCUUCUCAAGAGAGACAGCAAACUGGGGACAAGAAGGAGUGGCUGUCGGGUCACUGACAAUCGUGUGCUCCCUGGACACAGGAGCCCCAAAGGAGAAACAGGGGAGGUGUUUGGAGCUCAGCUAGCAGGGUGCCCACCCUCAGGGAGCAGGGCAUCUUCCAUGUCCCCAGACCUCCCUGAGGCCCUUCUUGUGGCUCAUUGGUGUUCAGGCCUUGAGCACCCUCAUGUUUCUCUAACAGCCUUUGCUGGGUGCCCCCCAAAUACCAUCACAGCUCUUGAAUUCCUCUCUCCUCAGGACCCAGAUGUGAGCCCCAUCCCCACACAGCCCCACACACUCAUCUGAUGUGCCCUCCCCCAAAGAAACCUCAGCUUCCCUGAGGUAGAAAUCCACUGUCCCUGAUGACCACGUGCCUUUUACUGAGCUUCUCAUUCCUCCACCACACUCUGCCUCCUGUUUCUCUUCUGUCUGGCUGACCUCCAGCAACAUUUCCUGCAUCUACUCUGUGUGCUUCUCGCCUUUCACACCAAACCUCUUGUACUAAGAGAGCUUUGGACUGAGCAUCAAGAUAAUUCCAGGCUGGGACACCCACUGGAUGCAGUGAGUUGGCCAAAUCAUAUCAGUAUCUGGCCUCCAUUUCCUCAUCGGCAACAUGGCUGUGCUGAAAGAACGGAAUAUUUUCUAACAGCACUUUGGGAUCUGAAAUUCUUCCUGUGUUCCUGUCUUCCUGUGUCUUCUUGUGUUCCUGUCUCCUUCCGUCCAUGUGUUCUGCUCCUCCCCACUCGGUAGCCAUGGUUCACCUCACCUUCAUCUCAGCUCCCUGGACCUCCCCUCCCUGUCCUCCUACUCCCCACCCAUUCAAUCCAACUUCAGUCCUUCCUUCCACUUUCACACCUAAGGCAUUGUUUUCUCAUAUGACCCUUGGAUUCCUGUGUGCAAAUAUACCAAACGGUUAUGGAUUCUAUUUCUGGCAAGAAGGCAUGCUCCACAGCUUGCAAAGGGGAUAUAAUAAAAACCUUCAGAAAUGCAA